GACGAACCGUACGAACGUUAUUCGGAAUCACUGGGCUUAAAGGGUGCGUAGGCGGCGCAGUAAGUUGGGUGUGAAAUCCCCCGGCUCAACCGGGGAAUUGCGCUUAAAACUACUGUGCUAGAGGAAUACAGAGGUAAGCGGAACUUCGGGUGGAGCGGUGAAAUGCGUUGAUAUCCGAAGGAACACCGGUGGCGAAAGCGGCUUACUGGGUAUUUUCUGACGCUGAUGCACGAAAGCUAGGGGAGCAAACGGG
rnacentral:rRNA from 1 species